rnacentral:rRNA from 1 species
UGGGGAAUAUUGCACAAUGGGCGCAAGCCUGAUGCAGCCAUGCCGCGUGUAUGAAGAAGGCCUUCGGGUUGUAAAGUACUUUCAGCGAGGAGGAAGGCGUUGUGGUUAAUAACCGCAGCGAUUGACGUUACUCGCAGAAGAAGCACCGGCUAACUCCGUGCCAGCAGCCGCGGUAAUACGGAGGGUGCAAGCGUUAAUCGGAAUUACUGGGUGUAAAGCGCACGCAGGCGGUCUGUCAAGUCGGAUGUGAAAUCCCCGGGCUCAACCUGGGAACUGCAUCCGAAACUGGCAGGCUAGAGUCUUGUAGAGGGGGGUAGAAUUCCAGGUGUAGCGGUGAAAUGCGUAGAGAUCUGGAGGAAUACCGGUGGCGAAGGCGGCCCCUUGGACAAAGACUGACGCUCAGGUGCGAAAGCGUGGGGAGCAAACA